AGACUCUUCCUCUGCUGAACGACUUUAACUUCAUCUUCACCUUAAUGGUUCCCAGUAGGUGAUGUCAGGGACUGCAGCGAGUGAUUGACACCCAAAUCAUGUGCAAAUGAAAUGAAGCCCCGAGGAGUCUCUGCUGACUGGACUCAACUUAUUGGACCACCUUCAAGGGCACAUGGAAACAACGGGGAAUUGGGUCUGAAAUUAAUAACUGUGUUGAUGCGGAAAAAAUAACCAGGACGGUUAGUCGGGAGGGGAUUAUCAAUAACAAAUAGCUCAAUAAUUAUUACAGUUACGCUAAUUAAAAUUUCUCCAUGUACCUUGGAGAAAUUAAUCCAGUCUAGCUCCAUGGAGCCCAGUCUUCCAGCUUGGUGUCUGGUUGAAUGUACUGUCUAAACCCUGAUCAUUUUCAUGACGUGUAUAUAAUUGUGCUGUGUAAUUACACCCAAACUGCAUAUUACAGUGCCAUGACUUGACAAA